rnacentral:lncRNA from 1 species
AAAAUAUUUCGUAUACGUAGAUAUAAUUGAAAUUAGGAAAAUUACAAAAUCCCACCUAUAUACAUGGUAAGACAAUUGUAUAAUUAAUUAAGUUUUUGCUUAAUUGUUAUUAUAUAUGCAAGACUAUAUAAUAUUCUUCUUUAAGAGUGGCAGAUAACUUUGUCAUAUCUUGUAGAAGUUAUCAUCAGCUGAGUAUUAAUAAUAGUAUUAUUACAAUAACCUUGUCUUGUAACCAUUGGACAGUUAAUUACUUGUACAAAAUAUAUUACUUAUAAACUUAAUUAUAAUUAACUACAUUACCUAUAAAAUGUUGUUACGGAUGACAGGGAUGUGGGCAUUCUGCCAUGCGGUUAAAGAAAUGCCUCUUAAUUAUUAUUCGGAUCUUCAUAAUUAAGGGAAGUGAUAAAAUAGGUUUUAGAGAAUUAUAAAAAAUAUAAUUAUUGUAUUUAGCAGAAAUAAUUUACCUAAUACGGCAUGUGAUAAAAUAAUUUUUAGAAAUCGAUAAAUAGAAGUGAAAUGGAGAAAAUAAUUAAGAAAUCAAAAUGUUGAAGCAUGUGACUUAAAGAUUAAUAAAAUAGGAUAUGAUUUAUUACAAAGAAUAAAGUGAACAAAUUAAAUAUUCAUGACCUUAUUAAAGCCACAUAUAAAACAAAAACCAUAAACCUAACCAAUUAAGAAAAUGGAAACACGAAACAUAUGGUGUAAAAAUGAGCAAAAGGCAACACCAAUUAAUCAGAAAAGCCAAGUCAACAUUGAAAAAUAUUAUUUUAAUUUUUAUGUUAUCGAGUAUUAAAAUGAGUGAUUUAACGCUCUUUCCUUAUAAAUGAUAAAUGAAGUCGAGAGUUGGAUCAUUAUAUGAAUAACUGAUUUGACAUGAGCAAACUGAAUCAUUCAAUGAAAUUAUUUCAAGUUUUCAUAAAAAGUACAUAGAUAAAUUUAUAUAUUUAGUCAAUCAUCUUUUAAUAUUUUUGUUUUUAAAUCUUGACACAUUAAUCUCAAACUAGAAUUCGAUUUUUUCAUGAAUUUAACAUCAAUAAUUAUACAAAUUUAAACCAAAAUUCAGAAGGAAAAUCACAAUAGUCAUGGCAGGGAUGGAGUUGAUGUCAAGAUAUACUAUAUUAUAUGUGGGUAUUUUGGGAUGACAUUGAAUGGGAUGCCCUGAUAUACUAUAUUAUAAUCUACGAUUUUGUAAAAACGAGCUUAUCGGCUAUUAAAUUUUAAAAUUAUAUUGAGAUACAUGAAUAAUAACUUAACCUAUUUCAAUACAAUUUAUAAAAUAUAACUGCUAAUUAUUGAGUUCAUUAUCAUAUAUGGUGGAGUUUAUAAUUUCCUUUUUUUUUUUUUUUGAAUUUUACUUUUAAAAAUAAUGACUUUUUAACAAGAGGAUCAUGUAUUAUGAUUAUGGUAGAAUGGAGUGAGCAAAAAGUUGGACGGCAUUGACUGUCACUAUUAUCACACUGCAAGAAAUUAGAAAACGAUGAAUAGUACAGCUCAAUAACUUCAGCACAUAAACGAAUUCCCCAUUUUCUUUCUCUAUAUAACAAAGACUAAGAAGAUCCAAAUGAACAUCCCGCAGCUUCUACUAUACUAAAUAGAGCUAUGGCAAUUAAAUGUGCUUUAGCCUCCAUCUUGGUCCAUCUAGUUCUAGCCAGCUUACCAACUUACACCAUUGGCAGCCGGUUGCUGCCACUCAACCGAAGCAGUUUUCCGCCUGGUUUUAUUUUUGGAGCCGGUUCUUCUGCUUAUCAAGUAUGAUCUUUCUUUUCUUUUGAAAAAAGAACAAAGAAAUUUUCUUGACUAGUAUUUUCUUUAACAGUCUGAAGGAGCAGCACUGAUAGAUGGCAGAGGACCAAGCAUAUGGGAUACUUUUGUGAGGGAACAAUCAGGUUUGAAUAGAAGAAGAAGAAGAAAAAAAAAAAAACUUUGUUGUUUUAUGCUUUGUAAAUCCUUUUACUAUGAGUAAUGAAUUUAUGUUUUUCCUCUUCAUCUUUAUCCCUUCCUUUGUUAUGUGUUUAAGAUAUUUUUGUUUUGUCGUUUCUUUGAAAAUGCUAAAACCAGCUUUCCUACCCCAUUUUCUAACCAUUUUUAUGUGUUUUGAAAAAAUUUUACCUUUGCGUGGCAGAAAAAAUUAAGGAUCGCAGUACAGGAGAUGUAGCUGACGAUUUUUAUCACCGUUACAAGGUAUUAUUAUGAAAAAUUAAGCAUAGUAUACAUAUAUAUAGUAUUUUUAUUCCUCUAUAUAUUUUGCUUGCUUGCUUUGGAUUCAGGAGGACAUAAAACUAAUGAAAAAGAUUGGUCUGGACUCCUUCAGGUUCUCCAUUUCGUGGAGUAGAAUCUUACCAAGUAAGAGAAGGAAUUUAUGAAAGAUAAAUUGGGAUAGAAUAAUUAAUGAGUCUGAAUCUUAAUUCAUUACAAUGGAAAAGUACAACAAUAUGCUAAAAUAGGUAUAUAUAUUCUAGGUUAGGUGAGGAAUUAUUAAGGUGUAACACUUUUCUCCUUUUUCCUUUUUUUUUUUUAUUUUUUAUUUUUUUUUCCAGAGGGGAAAAUCAAUGGGGGAGUGAAUGCACUGGGUGUUCAAUUUUACAAUGACCUCAUCAACAAUCUACUUUCCAAUGGUCAAUUACCAUUAUCUUUCACUAUAUAUAUUUUUAUUUUCCUGAUUAAUUACUUAAUAUGUUUUCACUAAAAUAGUAAAUUGAGCAUGCAGGUAUAAAGCCCUUUGUGACUUUACUCCAUUUCGACCCUCCACAAGCUCUGGAAGAUGAGUAUGGUGGUUUUCUAAGCCCACAAAUAGUGUAAGUGACAAAUUUUCAUAUAUAUAUAUAAGAAUAUGUUCGGUAAAAUUAAUUUUGUAGCAGCUAUUGAAUAUUUUAGUAACUGUUAACUGUUUAAAUAGCCUUUCAUCAACGUUCAAGUGAGUAACAUUUCAUAAUGCUCUCUCUCAAAUUCUUCUCACUAUUAUAAAAGAUAUAUUGUGGUUACAUGAAAAGCUGUUGCCGAACAUGACCGAAGAACAUUCUAUAUUUUUCAUUUAUUUUUAAUAUGUAACAAUAUAAUAUGAAUGUCUCUAAUUCGAUGAAUAUAUAUAUAUAUAGGAAAGAUUAUGUGGAGUAUGCAGACUUUUGUUUCAAAACAUUUGGCGAUCGAGUGAAGCUUUGGGUGACCAUAAAUGAACCCAACAUAUUUGUCAUCCAAGGUUAUGACUCCGGUGUCUUGGCACCUGGUCGAUGCUCCCACCUUGUAGGAAAUUGCUCUGCCGGAAACUCUGCAACUGAACCUUACAUCGUCAUGCACCACCUACUUCUCAGCCAUUCAGCUGCUGUCAAAUUGUAUAGGGACAAGUACGAGGUAACUAAUACUUUACCAGUAAUUAAAUGUAUUGCAUCUCCAGACGAAUUUUUCUUGACUACUAAGUGAUAAAUUUAACAUUUGCAGGUUAUCCAAAAGGGACAAAUCGGAAUUACGAUAGCAAGUGAAUGGUAUAUUCCAAAGUACAAUACAUCUUCUAGCCGCUUGGCUACCUCUAGAGUCUUGGAUUUUAACUUUGGAUGGUAAGCACUAAAUCUAUAUAUAUAUAUCCGAAAUAACAAGAUGAACUAUACAACAGUGAUAUCUCUUAACUCAUUAAAUUAGUAAAAAUUCUUAUAGUCGAAACUACUCGAACUCAAGACCUCUAUAAUAUGAGAAAAUCAACCAGACCACACUUGAUUGACUGUAAUUUCAUUUUUUCUUUGAGGUGACAAUAUUAGAACUAUAUUUUUGCAGGAUUGCACAUCCAAUUACAUAUGGAAGCUAUCCCCGAAGCAUGAGAGAACUAGUGGGAAGUAGAUUGCCAAAAUUCACUCAAGAACAAUCAAAAAUGAUAAAAGGGUCCUUUGAUUUUAUUACCCUAAAUUACUACUCAACAUAUUAUGCAGAAACUGCUCCACUUGCUAACGGUGCCAUCCUUAGUUAUACUGCUGACCAACGUGUAAAUACAACUUGUAGGUUCAAAUUUUUUAAAGCUUUAAUGAUUAUACAAUUAAGCUUUGAAGAAAAAAUUUUAAUUAAUCUAUUAAUACUAAUUAAUACUAUGCAUUUCGUCACCGCAGCAGAAAGGAAUGGAGUUCCCAUCGGCACACCGGUAUAUCUUUCUUUUUUCUUUCACACAUCGCCAUAUUGAUACCAAUGAGAUAGGNNNNNNNNNNNNNNNNNNNNNNNNNNNNNNGUACUAAUUGCAUAUUGAAGGGUAAGUUGCUCAAAAUUAAAGAACUUCAAUUUACGAAGAAAAAUGCAUCAGAAUUAAAUUUUCUUGGAAUCAUAAUGAACAAAGAAAAUGUGAUUAGCUGCUAAUUAUAUGUUGACAUUUUGCUUGGUGUUGCUUAGACUGUUUUGAGCUGGCUUUACAUCUAUCCAAAAGGAUUGGAAGAGCUUUUGCUAUAUGUGAAGGAAAAUUACAACAAUCCUACUAUUUUUUUUUUACAGAGGUUAAUUAAUGGUUUUAAUCUGCAUUAAUUCCUUGCAGGAAUGGCUGACGAUGCCUCUUUGCCGCUUGAAGUUGGCCUUAAAGAUGGUUUAAGAAUAAGAUACCUUAGUAGUCACUUAUCUUAUCUUUUAAGGGCAAUCAAGUAAAUUUUUUUUAAUUAUUUUUACUUUUAACAAUUAAUUAAUUAAUUGGUGAUAUUAAACAAAUUAAUCACGAUUUAAUUGAAAUUUUGCAGGAAGGGUGUUAAUGUAAAAUCAUACUAUAUAUGGUCAUUUUUUGAUGACUUUGAAUGGAGCAGUGGCUACACCAUUCGAUUUGGCAUCACUUAUGUUGAUUAUAAGAAUAAUCUGAAACGAUACCUCAAGUACUCAGCCUAUUGGUUCAAAUUGUUCCUUGCAAAUUAAUUAUGUUUGAAGACCUCCCAAAUACUUUUUACUCUUCAUUUUCCAAUAAAAAAAUAAUAAAAAAAUGCUUUGUGUAACUUACAAUAAUAGUGCGGUUAAUUCAACCGAUCGAAUUAGUCCAUUUGACAAGAAUGUGCUCUCGUUUCUUUUUAAUAAGAGCUCGAUUUCAUGGAUAUGUGAGUUGAUUUGCAUGGAAAAAAUCCAAAUUUCUUAAAUAAAAGAUCGAGCGUUUUCAUCUUUAUGAAUCGAGAAAAAAAAAAGUUUAAAUAUAUAUUUUUUCAUUCUUGCAUUCUCUUCUUUAGUUGUACAAUCCAACCACUUUCCUUUUGUAUUGUCAUUUUUAAAUUAUUAUACCAAUUAAUGUGUCAAAAUGGAUUGACGCGUUGGUCGACACGAAAUCGCCUAACACUAGACACGAUUAUAGUGAACAUGAACACAACCUGUUUAACAAUUGUGUCAUAUAUUUAAAUACGAACAUGACAUAAAAAUUAAACGAAUGAUACAUAUAUGAUGCAAUUAAAUGGGUCAUAUAUGAGUCAAAAACUUUAAUUUAAUUUAAUUAAAUAUGUCAUAUACGGUUCAGAAAUACGAUACAUAUAAUAUGUAUAACUUGUAUAACCUACUUAAUAUACUUAAUAUUCUUAAAUAAAUGGGGUACACGAAAUAGACUAGUCAACCGUGAUACACUACGUUUAAACUCGAGUUAUAUAUGGGGCAUCCGUUUAUAAUGCAAAAUCAUUUUGACUCAACCUUAAUCCAUUUAAUUUUCGUAUUAGGCGAACUGUUUACCGUGUCAUGACUCAUUUUGACAGCCCCGGCCUAGCAUAUGCCAUCUAAUCCCCUCCGUAGUCCAACUUCAGUGCUCUACAUUUUUUUUGUUACAAUAGAGGUUCUAUUCAACAAAUUUAACUGUUUUAGUUGCUAUUAGCCGUUUUAGUAGCUGUCAACUGUUUUAAUAGUGGUUAGCAGUUAAUGGUUAACGAUUAUACAGUGAUUUAGAAUAAAGUGUUUGGUACAAAUAACUGUUUAAUUAGCUGUUUAAAUAAGGUAAAGAAAAGUGAUAGAUACAGGCGUUAUAGAGAAAUUAUAAAAUGUUAUAAAGAUAACGUUUUAUAAAAUAUUGUCUCAACUCUAAAUAUUAGAAUAUAUAUUGUAUUAUCAAAUACUAUAAUUAAUUAAGAUAGAAUUUCAAUCCUAUUAAAACACUAAACAGUACUUCAAAAUCCAUUAGUGCAACAGAAAUGCAACUUAAGAAGACCACAGAAAAGUCAAAAAAAACCAUUCCACCGUUCCAUCCAUAAUUUAGAUUAAUUUAUAAUAAUUAUAUAGACAGUGACACAUGCUGUAUUUUAAUAUAUUUUUCACGUGUGUGUCUGCCACUCAACUACCAUUGUUCUUGGCUGAUACUAUAAUUGAUGUCUAAUUGUUUCAACUACCCAUUUUAAAAAUCUCCCCUUAUGGAAUUUGACUUAAAUUCUAACUACCCUUUCUUCCUCUUCUUUGUUUUUAUAAAUCUAUCGGGCCCCAUUGAAUGUUUAAGUUCAUCUGGUUAUUAUACAACUCCGUUUAAUCGGAGCAGUUUUCCGGCAGAUUUUAUAUUUGGAGCAUCCUCAAGUGCUUACCAGGUAGCUAGUCUCUGCAACCAUAGAGUUUUUUUUUUUCUUUUUUAAAUUUCUUUUCCAUUUAACUGCAUUUCUUGCUUCAUUGUAUAGUAUGAAGGAGCAACUCAGGUUGAUGGAAGACGACCAAGCAUUUGGGAUACAUUCGUCAGGGAAUUCCCAGGUUCUACAUCGUUAAAACGACUUAUAUUUGUAGAGAGAGGAAUUAAUUUACAAUUUAUCAUAUGAAAUCAGUCUAUGAUUGCUUUGACUCGUGUAAUUUUAAUUUUCCCAGUCAAUUUUUAAAUAUUUUUUCUCCUUUUAUUUUUAAGAUAAUUUUUUUUCUCUUAUUUCUCUUUUCACUAACUUCAAAAUAUGAGAUAUCUUAUAGAGUUAAAACUCAAAACAUGGCAGAAAAAAUUGCAGAUCAUAGCAAUGGAAAUAUAGCCGAAGAAUUUUAUUAUCUUUAUAAGGUAUGUCUAAGAAAAUUAUGUAUUCAUCAAUGUCAAAAUAUAAACUCCUUCUAUUGCUAGUUACAUAUACAUGUAUGUGUGUUUAUAUAUAGGAGGACAUUGCUCGGAUGAAAGAAAUUGGAUUAGACUCCUUCAGAUUUUCCCUUUCAUGGCCCAGAAUAUUACCUUGUAAGAACAUCAUUUCGUAAUUGGUUAAUUAUAAUUUUGGAAUUUUAAUCACUUGGAAUGGAUUUUUUUUCUUAAAUUCUCAGAUGGGAAAAUCAGUGGAGGUGUGAACCAGAAAGGUGUUGAUUUCUACAAUUUUAUCGUUGAUGAGUUAAUAUCAAAUGGUAAUUUUUUUUAUAUUUCACAAAUUGAAUCCUUUUAAAUUAAGAUAAUAACAUUUUAAUUAUCAUCUAAAUAUACUAGUAUUUACAUUUUGAGCAGGCAUUCAACCCUUAGUGACUCUAUUCCAUUGGGAUGUUCCUCAAGCCAUUGAAGAUGAGUAUGGUGGAUUCUUAAGCUCUGAAAUUGUGUAAGCUAAUCAGCUAAUCUUUUUAAGAAAGGUUAAUUGCAAAUGGGAAAUUAAUUGAUCAAUUCUAAGACUUGUACAGGGAUGAUUAUCGCAAUUACGCGGAUUUUUGCUUCAAAGAAUUUGGUGAUAGAGUAAAGUAUUGGGUGACUAUAAACGAGCCUGACAUAGUAGGUCUUAAAGGGUAUGCAUCAGGCAUUAAUGCACCCGGUCGGUGUUCUAGCUACAUCGGAAAUUGCACGGUGGGGAAUUCUGCGACAGAGCCAUAUAUGGUGGUUCAUAACAUGAUUCUUUCUCAUGCAGCUGCUGUAAAAUUAUACAGGGAGAAAUAUCAGGUGAGGAUAAUUCUUUUUUAUGCAGCAGAAGUUUUUGGGAAAAGACUUGUCCAAAUCUCCAAUUUUAGUAAUUUGGAUUCUUUUUAGGCUUCUCAAAAGGGUAAACUUGGGAUUACAGUAUCAGUUAGAUGGAUGGUGCCCAAAUACCCCACAGUUUCUUGCAGAAAGGCAGCCUCUACUGCUCUUGAUUUUUCAUUUGGAUGGUAAGUGUCUCUAUGCUAAAUAUAAAGAAAUAAUCUUUUAUCAAUGGCGAAUUCUGUGGAUAGAAGUGGAUUGCGUCUAGUGAAUUUUACCUAUAAAAUUAUUAUUUUUUGGAUACCUAAUUUAAUUAUUAAUGUUAAUAUGUGUAGGGUUGUUCAUCCCUUAGUAUAUGGUGAAUAUCCUGAGAGCAUGAGAGACUUGGUGGGGACUCGAUUGCCUAAUUUUACAGAAGAAGAAACAGAGAUGGUCAAAGGGUAUUUUGAUUUUGUUGGAAUAAAUUAUUACACUGCAAGAUAUGCAGAAGAAGCCACAUCUUAUAGUAGCAUCUACCUAAGUUAUACUACAGAUAGUCGAGUUAAUCUAACAAGUGAGUCCAAAGAUAAGAUUAAUUGGUGGUUUUAACUAAUUGAUUAUUCAUCAAUCUUGAUUUUUUUUUUUUUUUAUUCGAUUCAAUUUCAUUCACAAAAUGUUUGUAAUUUACUGUCGGCAGCUGAGAAAAAUGGGAUUCCUAUCGGUCCACAGGUAUUCCUUUUUAUAUAUAUAUAUUUUUUCCCAUAAUGUACAAUUUUAAUUUAAUUUUUAAUACAUAAAUAUUACACUAAUUAUUUCUCAAUUUUUUGCUUAGGCUGCUCCUAGUUGGCUUUACGUUUACCCAAAGGGAAUUCGAGAAAUUUUGCUAUAUACAAAGAGUAAAUACAACAAUAUUCCCAUUAUUGUCACUGAGAAUGGUAUAAACAGCAAUCAUUUAAUAAUUUUCCGCAAUUUCUUAUUUAACAAUUAAUGAUGUCUAACGUGUGUGUGUGUGUGUAUAUAUAUAUAUAUAGGAUGGCUGAUCCAAAUAAUAGCUCCAUUUCCAUUAAUGAUGCUCUAAAUGAUAAUUUGAGGAUCAAAUACCAUUUUCUUCAUCUAUCAUAUCUGUUAGAAGCUAUUAAGUAAGUUUCAAUAUUUGGGUUUCAAUUUAAGGUACUAUAGUUCUUCCUAAGAGAAAAAAAAAAUAAUAGGUAUGAUCUUUGGCAUGCAGAGAUGGAGUUGACGUAAGAGGAUAUUACGUGUGGUCAUUUCUAGAUGACUUUGAGUGGGAACUUGGUUAUACGGUUCGAUUUGGCAUUAAUUUUGUUGAUUAUGAAAAUGGAUUGAAAAGAUAUUACAAGCACUCUGCUUUAUGGUUCAAAGAUUUCCUCCAAAUGGAGAAUGUAACUUCCUCUUCUUUGUUGUAUUCUCAAUGAUUGAUGGAUUAAUUUCAUAAUACUAUAUAUUUAAUAUUGUUUAUUUAGUGAUAUAAUUAUGUUCUAUAAAUCCCUAUCAUUUUUGGAUUUUGAUAGUAACAACUUAUGAUUAAAUUCAUAAUUAUUGGUUAAGGUUUUCUUAGUUAUGUGUUUUUUUUUUUUUUUUAAUAAAGAAUAAUUAAGAUUGUUGUUAUGACUGGGAGGUGAGAAAAUCAGAAGCUAAAAGAAAUCAUGAGGAGCUUAGGUGAAGAAAUCUUACAAAAAUUAUAUAAAUUAUUAAAUGAAUUGGGGAAUAUUUGGUAGGUAUGGUAAGUAGGGCAUUAUUGAAAUUAAUUAUAAGCAUUUUAUGCAGGAAUGAGUACUUUUCAGCUAAUAUGUGGUAGUUGUUGAGUUAUUUUCAGCUAGAUCAUAGAUGUCAUUGUAUUCCAUAUUUCUCCAUAAACAUUGAUGUUAUUGUAAUACUACAAAUACAGUUGAAUUCAAAAAAUAAAUAAUUUCCUUUAAUUAAUCAAUAAAUUGAAAUAACGGGUAAUCUUUGCACUCCUGUGAGAAGACCAACCAGACAAAGUUCUUUUCAUAUUUUGUCUAUUUUGUGAACUAUAAGAAUUGUAGCAUAAACGAAAUUCGUAACUUAAAAGGAAUCCAAAUCUUUUAAGUAACGCGUCGUGCAAGUUGAAAAAUAAGAAUUUAUUAUUGGAAAAAAAAUAUAUAAGAAGUAAUAUUGGUUUAGAGAAAGAAUGCCUAUUUGUCUUUUGUUUAGCUCUGAUAAAAGAAUUGUUACCUUCCUACAUAAUUAAUAUUCUGCUAAAUGACAGAGCACUUAGAUUUUCAUAUAUAUAUAUAUAUAUAUGAUGAAAUAAAUUAAGAUGAGCUGCCAUUUCUGAGAUGUUAGUUCUCAAUUCUGGUAAGUGUGAGUUCUUCUUCUUCCUCUCUUUCUUUCGACUUUUCUUUUCCUUCUCUGGUCUUUCUUCAAUCUCUGCAAUUUCUUCCAUAUCCGGUUAACAGGUUAGGUAUCACAUAUAAAUAUUAUAAUAAUGAAAUGAGCAUUAGAACCACUUAACACCUAUCAUCCUGCUCGGCAAAAGGCACGUUAAUCUUGCAAAAUAUAUCUAAACUUUCUUCAUUUUCUUGUGUGCUAAUCUUAAUACUGUUCUUUUAUUUUCAAUUCACGAUUGCUGUUUUUUUAUUAUGAUUAUUGUCUUGUUGACAAAAUGAACACCAAUUCUUUUUUUUUUUGUCUUUUCUUGACUUUGGGAGACGUUGAACCCCACAUGUUCUGUUUUUUUCUUUUUCUGAGAGAUAAUGAACCCCACUGAUAUUGAUGAUGAUGGUUGCAGGGAUUUUGUACUGUACUGAAUAUGAAAACUGAACAUUAUCUCUUCUUCUUUCUCAUACCAAUCAUACAUUUGUGGGUUCUUACUGAGGGAUUGGAAGCUUAUAAUCUCCAUAACUCUGUUGCUCCAAUCAGUAGGAAUAGUUUUCCAAAAGAUUUUAUAUUCGGAGUAGCUUCAAGUGCUUGCCAGGUAAUUGAUUUUAUUUUUUUCCAGGAAAAUGUUUCUGGUUUUACUACAAUUUUCAAUCUCACAUUUGGUUUAGCUUUAAAUUUAGAGUGAAGGAGCAGCAGAUACUGAUGGCAAGAAACCAAGCAUUUGGGAUACCUUUACCAAGAACUACCCACGUAAUAUCCAAAUACAAAACCUAAUUAAUUCAUUAUUGUUUUAAAUUAUAAAUAUUUCAUCAGUAGAAGACCAGAAAGCAGCCAUGAGAGAAAUUCAUUUUCUUUUUGGUUGGUAAGUUUCAUAAUUAGUAUUGUAAAUUAUAUUAUUUAUAAUUUGCUGAUCCUGAAAAUUUUGUGUAGGUUUGCUCAUCCAGAAGUAAUGAAAUCUUUAGUGGGAGAACGACUGCCUAAAUUUACUAAACGACAAUCUGAUAUGCCAAAAGGGUCUCUUGAUUUCUUGGGAGUAAAUUACUACACCACAUAUUUUGUUGCAAACAACCUAUUAUCAAUGCCAAUAAAGUUGGAGCUCUGUAGUCAAACCACUUUUUCUGGUAAUUAAGUUUAUCUAUGCUAGAAAAAUAUUUCGUAUACGUAGAUAUAAUUGAAAUUAGGAAAAUUACAAAACCCCACCUAUAUACAACCAAUUAAGAAAAUGGAAACACGCAACAUAUGGUGUAAAAAUGAGCAAAAGGCAACACCAAUUAUAUUAAUAACUGACUUGACAUGAACAGCUGAAUCAUUCAAUGGAAUUAUUUCAAGUUUUCAUAAAAAGUACAUAAAUAAAUUUAUAUAUUUAGUCAAUCAUCUCUUAAUAUUUUUGUUUCUAAAUCUUGACACAUUAAUCUCAAACUAGAAUUCGAUUUUUUCAUGAAUUUAACAUCAAUAAUUAUACAAAUAAAUUCAGAAGGAAAAUCACAAUAGUUAUGGCAGGAAUGGAGUUGAUGUCAAGAUACUAUAUCAUAUGUGGGUAUUUUAGGAUGACAUUGAAUGGGAUGCUGAAUACAUAAUUUGAUUUAUUUUGCUAUUAUAAUCUCCGAUUUUAUAAGAAUGAGCUUAUCAGCUAUUAAAUUUUAAAAUUAUGUGGAGAUUAAUGAAUAAUAACUUAACCUAUUUCAAUACAAUUUAUACAAUAUAACAGCUAAUUAUUGAGUUCAUUAUUAUAUAUGGUGGAGUUUAUAAUUUCUUUUUGUUUUUUUUUAAUUUUACUUUUAAAAAUAAUGACUUUUUUACAAAGAGGAUCAUGUAUUAUGAUUAUGGUAACAUGGACUGAGCAAAAAGUUGGUACGGCAUUGACUGUCACUAUUAUCACACUGCAAGAAAUUAGAAAAACGAUGAAUAGUACAGCUCAAUAACUUCAGCACCUAAACGAAGUCCCCAUAUUCUUUCUCUAUAUAACACAGACUAAGAAGAUCCAAAUGAACAUCCCGCAGCUUCUACUAUACUAAAUAGAGCUAUGGGAAUUAAAUGUGCUUUAGCCUCCAUCUUGGUCCAUCUAGUUCUAGCUAGCUUACCAACUUACACCAUUGGCAGCCGGUUGCUGCCACUCAACCGAAGCAGUUUUCCGCCUGGUUUUAUUUUUGGAGCCGGUUCUUCUGCUUAUCAAGUAUGAUCUUUCUUUUCUUUUGAAAAAGAAGGAAGAAAUUUUCUUGACUAGUAUUUUCUUUAACAGUCUGAAGGAGCAGCACUGAUAGAUGGCAGAGGACCAAGCAUAUGGGAUACUUUUGUGAGGGAACAAUCAGGUUUGAAUAGAAGAAGAAGAAGAAAAAAAAAAAAACUUUGUUGUUUUAUGCUUUGUAAAUCCUUUUACUAUGAGUAAUGAAUUUAUGUUUUUCCUCUUCAUCUUUAUCCCUUCCUUUGUUAUGUGUUUAAGAUAUGCUUUUUCUCGAUUCUUUGAAAAUGCUAAAACCAGCUCUCCUACCCGAUUUUCUAACCGUUUUAUGUGUUUUGAAAAAAUUUUACCUUUGUGUGGCAGAAAAAAUUAAGGAUCGCAGUACAGGAGAUGUAGCUGACGAUUUUUAUCACCGUUACAAGGUAUUAUUAUGAAAAAUUAAGCAUAGUAUACAUAUAUAUAGUAUUUUUAUUCCUCUAUAUAUUUUGCUUGCUUGCUUUGGAUUCAGGAGGACAUAAAACUAAUGAAAAAGAUUGGUCUGGACUCCUUCAGGUUCUCCAUUUCGUGGAGUAGAAUCUUACCAAGUAAGAGAAGGAAUUUAUGAAAGAUAAAUUGGGAUAGAAUAAUUAAUUGUUUCUGAAUCUUAAUUCAUUACAAUGGAAAAGUACAACAAUAUGCUAAAAUAGGUAUAUAUAUUCUUGGGUAGGUGAGGAAUUAUUAAGUUGUAACACUUUUCUCCUUUUUCCUUUUUUUUUUUUAUUUUUUAUUUUUUUUUCCAGAGGGGAAAAUCAAUGGGGGAGUGAAUCCACUGGGUGUUCAAUUUUACAAUGACCUCAUCAACAAUCUACUUUCCAAUGGUCAAUUAUCAUUAUCUUUCACUAUAUAUAUUUUUAUUUUCCUGAUUAAUUACUUAAUAAGUUUUCACUAAGAUGGUAAACUGAGCAUGCAGGUAUAAAGCCCUUUGUGACUUUACUCCAUUUCGACCCUCCACAAGCUCUGGAAGAUGAGUAUGGUGGUUUUCUAAGCCCACAAAUAGUGUAAGUGACAAAUUUUCAUAUAUAUAUAUAUAUUUGAAGAGUUUGUUCGGCAAAAUUAGUUUUGUAGCAGCUAUUAGAUAUUUUUGUAAUUGUUAGCUGUUUAAAUAACCUUUUAUCAACGUUCAAGUGAGUAACAUUUCAUAAUGCGCUCUCUCAAAUUAUAAAAACUAUGCUGUAGCUACAUGAAAAGCCGUUGCUUAACAUGACCGAAGAACAUUCUAUAUUUUUCAUUUAUUUUUAAUAUGCAACUAUAUUAUAUGACUGUCUCUAAUUUGACGAAUAUAUAUAUAGGAAAGAUUAUGUGGACUAUGCAGACUUUUGUUUCAAAACAUUUGGAGAUCGAGUGAAGCUUUGGGUGACCAUAAAUGAACCCAACAUAUUUGUCAUCCAAGGUUAUGACUCCGGUGUCUUGGCACCUGGUCGAUGCUCCCACCUUUUAGGAAAUUGCUCUGCCGGAAACUCUGCAACUGAACCUUACAUCGUCAUUCACCACCUACUUCUCAGCCAUUCAGCUGCUGUCAAAUUGUAUAGGGACAAGUACGAGGUAACUAAUACUUCACCAGUAAUUAAAUGUACUGCAUCUCCAGACGAAUUUUUCUUGUAAGAUCAAGAGAUUUUUAGUACUACUAAGUGAUAAAUUUAACAUUUGCAGGUUAUCCAAAAGGGACAAAUCGGAAUUACGAUAUCAAGUCAAUGGUAUACUCCAAAGUACAAUACAUCUUCUGGCCGCUUGGCUACCUCUAGAGUCUUGGAUUUUUCCUUUGGAUGGUAAGCACUAAAUCUCUCUCUCUCUCUCUCUCUCUCUCUCUCUCUCUCUCUCUCUCUCUCUCUCUCUCUCUCAGUCUUGGAUUUUAACUUUGGAUGGUAAGCACUAAAUCUAUAUAUAUAUAUCCGAAAUAACAAGAUGAACUAUACAACAGUGAUAUCUCUUAACUCAUUAAAUUAGUAAAAAUUCUUAUAGUCGAAACUACUCGAACUCAAGACCUCUAUAAUAUGAGAAAAUCAACCAGACCACACUUGAUUGACUGUAAUUUCAUUUUUUCUUUGAGGUGACAAUAUUAGAACUAUAUUUUUGCAGGAUUGCACAUCCAAUUACAUAUGGAAGCUAUCCCCGAAGCAUGAGAGAACUAGUGGGAAGUAGAUUGCCAAAAUUCACUCAAGAACAAUCAAAAAUGAUAAAAGGGUCCUUUGAUUUUAUUACCCUAAAUUACUACUCAACAUAUUAUGCAGAAACUGCUCCACUUGCUAACGGUGCCAUCCUUAGUUAUACUGCUGACCAACGUGUAAAUACAACUUGUACGUUCAAAUUUUUUAAAGCUUUAAGGAUUAUACAAUUAAGCUUUGAAGAAAAUUUUUUAAUUAAUGUAUUAAUACUAAUUAAUACUAUGCAUUUCGUCACCACAGCAGAAAGGAAUGGAGUUCCCAUCGGCACACCGGUAUAUCUUUCUUUUUUCUUUCACACAUCGCCAUAUUGAUACCAAUGAGAUAGGAUUUUUUUUUUAUUGAAAAAAGAACAUCGUACUAAUUGCAUUUUGAUUUUUGUAAUUAAAAUUUUUCAAGAAAGCCACAAUAUAUUGAAGGGUAAGUUGCUCAAAAUUAAAGAACUUCAAUUUGCGAAGAAAAAUGCAUCAGAAUUAAAUUUUCUUGUAAUCAUAAUGACAAAAGAAAAUGUGAUUAGCAGCUAAUUAUAUGUUGACAUUUUGUCUUGGUGUUGCUUAGACUGUUUUGAGCUGGCUUUACAUCUAUCCAAAAGGAUUGGAAGAGCUUUUGCUAUAUGUGAAGGAAAAUUACAACAAUCCUACUAUUUUCAUUACUGAAAAUGGUAAAUUUAAUUUCCUAUUUUAAUCAAAUAUAAGGUCUUUUAGCUUUUUUUUUUUUUUUUAACAGUGGUUAAUUAAUGGUUUUAAUCUGCAUUAAUUCCUUGCAGGAAUGGCUGACGAUGCCUCUUUGCCGCUUGAAGUUGGCCUUAAAGAUGGUUUAAGAAUAAGAUACCUCAGUGGUCACCUAUCUUAUCUUUUAAGGGCAAUCAAGUAAUUUUUUUUAAUUAUUUUUACUUUUAACAAUUAAUUAAUUAAUUGGAGAUAUUAAACAAAUUAAUCUCGAUUUAAUUGAAAUUUUGCAGGGAGGGUGUUAAUGUAAAAUCAUACUAUAUAUGGUCAUUUUUUGAUGACUUUGAAUGGCGCAAUGGCUACACCAUUCGAUUUGGCAUCACUUAUGUUGAUUAUAAGAAUAAUCUGAAACGAUACCUCAAGUACUCUGCCUAUUGGUUCAAAUUGUUCCUUGCAAAUUAAUUAUGUUUGAAGACCUCCCAAAUAAUAUUUACUCUUCAUUUUCCAAUAAAAAAAAUGCUUUGUGUAACUUACAAUAAUAGUGCGGUUAAUUCAACCGAUCGAAUUAGUCCAUUUGACAAGAAUGUGCUCUCGUUUCUUUUUAAUAAGAGCUCGAUUUCAUCGAUAUGUGAGUUGAUUUGCAUGGAAAAAAAUUUAAAUUUCUUAAAUAAAAGAUCGAGUGUUUUCAUAUUUAUGGAUAGAGAAAAAAAAAGUUUAAAUAUAUAUUUUUCAUUCUUGCAUUCUCUACUUUAGUUGUACAAUCCAACCACUUUCAUUUUGUAUUGUCAUUUUUAAAUUAUUAUACCAAUUGAUGUGUCAAAAUGGGUUGACGUGUAGGUCGACAUGAAACCGCCUAACACUCGACACGAUUAUAGUGAACAUAAACACAACCUGUUUAAUAAUUGUGUCAUAUAUUUAAAUACGAACAUGACAUAAAAAUUAAACGAAUAAUACAUAUAUGAUGCAAUUAAACGGGUCAUAUAUGAAUCAAAAAGUUUAAUUAAAUAUGUCAUAUACAGUUUAGAAACACGAUACAUACAACAUGUAUAACCUGCAUAAACCCACUUAAUAUACAUAUUAUAUAUAAAAUUAUAUUUUUAUUCUUAAAUAAACGGGGUACACAGAUUAGAUGAGUCAACCGUGAUCACUACAUUUAAACUCGAGUUAUAUAUGGGUCAUCCGUUUAUGAUAUGAACCAUUUUGGCUCAACCUCAAAUCAUUUAAUUUUCAUAAUAGGUGAAUUGUGGAAAAGUCAUGACUCAUUUUGACAACCCCGACCUAGCAUAUGCAACCUAAUCCCCUCCGUAGUCCAACUCCAACGCUCUACAUUUAUUUGUUACAAUAGAGGGUCUAUUCAGCAAAUUUAAUUAUUCUAGUAGCUAUUAGCUGUCACCUGUUUUACUAGUGGUUGGCAGUUAAAUAUUAGCAGUUAGUGGUUAAUGAUUAUAUAGUGAUUUAGAAUAAAAGUAUUCGGUACAAAUAACUGUUUGAUUAACUGUUUACUAUGAAAUGAUAAAAAAAUAUAAAAGCGAAAAACAAGAUAAAGACAGGUGAUAAAUAUAGGUGUCAUAAAAAAAUUAUAAUAAAAAUAACAUUUCAUAAAACACUGUCUUAAACUCUAAAUACUCUAGCAGGUAUUAUAUUAUCGAACACCGUAAUUAAUUAAGAUUGUGUUUCAACUCUAUUAAUUAAGAUAGUCAAAACAACCGUUCCACCGUUCUAUCAAUAAUUUAGAUUAAUUUAUAAUAAUUAUAUACACAGUGACACAUGCUGUAUUUUAAUAUAUUUUUCACGUGUGUUUCUGCCACUCAACUGCCAUUGUUUUUUGCUGAUAUUAUAAUUGAUGUCUAAUUGUUUCAACUACCCAUUUUAAAAAUCUCCCCUUAUGGAAUUUGAUUUAAAUUCUAACUACCCUUUCUUCCUCUUCUUUGUUUUUAUAAAUCUAUUGGGCCCCAUUGAAUGUUUAAGUUCAUCUGGUUAUUAUACAACUCCGUUUAAUCGGAGCAGUUUUCCGGCAGAUUUUAUAUUUGGAGCAUCCUCGAGUGCUUACCAGGUAGCUAGUCUCUGCAACCGUAGAGUUUUUUUCUUUUUUAAAUUUCUUUUCCAUUUAACUGCAUUGUUAAUUUGUCCAGUUUCUUGCUUCAUUGUAUAGUAUGAAGGAGCAACUCAGGGUGAUGGAAGACGACCAAGCAUUUGGGAUACAUUCGUCAGGGAAUUCCCAGGUUCUACAUUGUUAAAACGACUUAUAUUUGUAGAGAGAGAGGAAUUAAUUUACAAUUUAUCAUAUGAAAUUAGUCUAUGAUUGCAUUGACUCGUGUAAUUUUAAUUUUCCCAGUCGAUUUUUAAAUAUUUUUUCUCCUUUUAUUUUUAAGAUAAUUUUUUUCUCUUAUUUCUCUUUUCACUAACUUCAAAAUAUGAGAUAUCUUAUGGAGUUAAAACUCAAAACAUGGCAGAAAAAAUUGCAGAUCAUAGCAAUGGAAAUAUAGCCGAAGAAUUUUAUUAUCUUUAUAAGGUAUGUCUAAGAAAAUUAUGUAUUCAUCAAUGUCAAAAUAUAAACUCCUUCUAUUGCUAGUUACAUAUACAUGUAUGUGUGUUUAUAUAUAGGAGGACAUUGCUCGGAUGAAAGAAAUUGGAUUAGACUCCUUCAGAUUUUCCCUUUCAUGGCCCAGAAUAUUACCUUGUAAGAACAUCAUUUCGUAAUUGGUUAAUUAUAAUUUUGGAAUUUUAAUCACUUGGAAUGGAUUUUUUUUCUUAAAUUCUCAGAUGGGAAAAUCAGUGGAGGUGUGAACCAGAAAGGUGUUGAUUUCUACAAUUUUAUCGUUGAUGAGUUAAUAUCAAAUGGUAAUUUUUUUUAUAUUUCACAAAUUGAAUCCUUUUAAAUUAAGAUAAUAACAUUUUAAUUAUCAUCUAAAUAUACUAGUAUUUACAUUUUGAGCAGGCAUUCAACCCUUAGUGACUCUAUUCCAUUGGGAUGUUCCUCAAGCCAUUGAAGAUGAGUAUGGUGGAUUCUUAAGCUCUGAAAUUGUGUAAGCUAAUCAGCUAAUCUUUUUAAGAAAGGUUAAUUGCAAAUGGGAAAUUAAUUGAUCAAUUCUAAGACUUGUACAGGGAUGAUUAUCGCAAUUACGCGGAUUUUUGCUUCAAAGAAUUUGGUGAUAGAGUAAAGUAUUGGGUGACUAUAAACGAGCCUGACAUAGUAGGUCUUAAAGGGUAUGCAUCAGGCAUUAAUGCACCCGGUCGGUGUUCUAGCUACAUCGGAAAUUGCACGGUGGGGAAUUCUGCGACAGAGCCAUAUAUGGUGGUUCAUAACAUGAUUCUUUCUCAUGCAGCUGCUGUAAAAUUAUACAGGGAGAAAUAUCAGGUGAGGAUAAUUCUUUUUUAUGCAGCAGAAGUUUUUGGGAAAAGACUUGUCCAAAUCUCCAAUUUUAGUAAUUUGGAUUCUUUUUAGGCUUCUCAAAAGGGUAAACUUGGGAUUACAGUAUCAGUUAGAUGGAUGGUGCCCAAAUACCCCACAGUUUCUUGCAGAAAGGCAGCCUCUACUGCUCUUGAUUUUUCAUUUGGAUGGUAAGUGUCUCUAUGCUAAAUAUAAAGAAAUAAUCUUUUAUCAAUGGCGAAUUCUGUGGAUAGAAGUGGAUUGCGUCUAGUGAAUUUUACCUAUAAAAUUAUUAUUUUUUGGAUACCUAAUUUAAUUAUUAAUGUUAAUAUGUGUAGGGUUGUUCAUCCCUUAGUAUAUGGUGAAUAUCCUGAGAGCAUGAGAGACUUGGUGGGGACUCGAUUGCCUAAUUUUACAGAAGAAGAAACAGAGAUGGUCAAAGGGUAUUUUGAUUUUGUUGGAAUAAAUUAUUACACUGCAAGAUAUGCAGAAGAAGCCACAUCUUAUAGUAGCAUCUACCUAAGUUAUACUACAGAUAGUCGAGUUAAUCUAACAAGUGAGUCCAAAGAUAAGAUUAAUUGGUGGUUUUAACUAAUUGAUUAUUCAUCAAUCUUGAUUUUUUUUUUUUUUUAUUCGAUUCAAUUUCAUUCACAAAAUGUUUGUAAUUUACUGUCGGCAGCUGAGAAAAAUGGGAUUCCUAUCGGUCCACAGGUAUUCCUUUUUAUAUAUAUAUAUUUUUUCCCAUAAUGUACAAUUUUAAUUUAAUUUUUAAUACAUAAAUAUUACACUAAUUAUUUCUCAAUUUUUUGCUUAGGCUGCUCCUAGUUGGCUUUACGUUUACCCAAAGGGAAUUCGAGAAAUUUUGCUAUAUACAAAGAGUAAAUACAACAAUAUUCCCAUUAUUGUCACUGAGAAUGGUAUAAACAGCAAUCAUUUAAUAAUUUUCCGCAAUUUCUUAUUUAACAAUUAAUGAUGUCUAAGGGAUGGCUGAUCCAAAUAAUAGCUCCAUUUCCAUUAAUGAUGCUCUAUAAUUUGAGGAUCAAAUACCAUUUUCUUCAUCUAUCAUAUCUGUUAGAAGCUAUUAAGUAAGUUUCAAUAUUUGGGUUUCAAUUUAAGGUACUAUAGUUCUUCCUAAGAGAAAAAAAAAAUAAUAGGUAUGAUCUUUGGCAUGCAGAGAUGGAGUUGACGUAAGAGGAUAUUACGUGUGGUCAUUUCUAGAUGACUUUGAGUGGGAACUUGGUUAUACGGUUCGAUUUGGCAUUAAUUUUGUUGAUUAUGAAAAUGGAUUGAAAAGAUAUUACAAGCACUCUGCUUUAUGGUUCAAAGAUUUCCUCCAAAUGGAGAAUGUAACUUCCUCUUCUUUGUUGUAUUCUCAAUGAUUGAUGGAUUAAUUUCAUAAUACUAUAUAUUUAAUAUUGUUUAUUUAGUGAUAUAAUUAUGUUCUAUAAAUCCCUAUCAUUUUUGGAUUUUGAUAGUAACAACUUAUGAUUAAAUUCAUAAUUAUUGGUUAAGGUUUUCUUAGUUAUGUGUUUUUUUUUUUUAAUAAAGAAUAAUUAAGAUUGUUGUUAUGACUGGGAGGUUUGAAAAUCAGAAGCUAAAAGAAAUCACGAGGAGCUUAGGUGAAGAAAUCUUAAAAAAAUAUAUAAAUUAUUAGAUGAAUUGGGGAAAAUUUGGUAGGUAUGGGUAAGUAGGGCAUUAUUGAAAUUAAUUAUAAGCACUUUAUGCAGAAAUGAGUACUUUUCAGCUAAUAUGUGGUAGUUGUUGAGUUAUUUUCAGCUAGAUCAUAGAUGUCAUUGUAUUCCAUACUUCUCCAUAAACAUUGAUGUUAUUGUAAUACUACAAAUACAGAUGAAUUCAAAAAAUAAAUAAUUUACUUUAAUUAAUCAAUAAAUUGAAAUAACGGUUAAUCUUUGCACUACAAUGAGAACAUCAACCAGACAACGUUCUUUUCAUAUUUUGUCAGUUUUAUAAACUAUAAGAAUUGUAGCAUAAACGGAAUUUGUAAAUUAAAAGGAAUCCAAAUCUUUCAAGUAACGCAUCGUGCAAGUUGAAAAAUAAGAGUUUAUUAUUGGAAAAAAAUAUAUAAGAAGCAAUAUUGGUGUAAAGAAAGAAUGCCUAUUUCUCUUUUGUUUUGCUCUGAUAAAAGAAUUGUUAUCUUCCUACAUAAUUAAUAUUCUGGUAAGUGUCAGUUCUUCUUCUUCCUCUCUUUCUUUCGACUUUUCUUUUCCUUCUCUGUUCUUUCUUCAAUCUCUGCAAUUUCUUCCAUAUCCGGUUAACAGGUUAGGAGGUAUCACAUAUAAAUAUUAUAAUAAUGAAAUAAGCAUUAGAACCACUUAACACCUAUCAUCCUGCUGGGCAAAAGGCACGUUAAUCUUGCAAAAUAUAUCUAAACUUUCUUCAUUUUCUUCUGUGUUUAAUCUUAAUAUUGUUCUUUUAUUUUCAAUUCACCAUUGCUGUUUUUUUAUUAUGAUUAUUGUCUUGUUGACAAAAUGAACCCCCUUUUCUUUUUUCUUUUUUUUUUUUUUUUUUGUCUUUUCUUGACUUUGGGAGACGUUGUGUUGCUCAUGUUCUGUUUUUUUAUUUUUCUGAGAGAUAAUGAACCCCACUAAUCUUGAUGAUGAUGGUUGCAGGGAUUGGUACGAUACUGAAUAUGAAAACUGAACAUCAUCUCUUCUUCUUUCUCAUACCAAUCAUACAUUUGUGGGUUCUGACUGAGGGAUUGGAAGCUUAUAAUCUCCAUAACUCUGUUGCUCCAAUCAGUAGGAAUAGUUUUCCUAAAGAUUUUACAUUCGGAGUAGCUUCAAGUGCUUACCAGGUAAUUAAUUUUAUUUUUUUCCAGGAAAAUGUUUGUGGUUUUACUACAAUUUUCAAUCUCACAUUCGGUUUAGCUUUAAAUUUAGAGUGAAGGAGCAGCAGAUACUGAUGGCAAGAAACCAAGCAUUUGGGAUACCUUUACCAAGAACUACCCACGUAAUAUCCAAAUACAAAACCUAAUUAAUUCAUUAUUGUUUUAAAUUAUAAAUAUUUCAUUUGAAUUUUUCAUGGGAAUUUUUGUAUGGCACAGAAAAAAUAUUCGAUCAUAGCUCCGGUGAGGUUGCUGAGGAUUUUUAUCAUCGUUACGUGGUACGAACCUAAAUAAUUCUUGAAAUUAAGAAAACAUUACAUAUUUGUUCUUCUAAUUAAGUUGUUGUUUUGGUUGAUAUUGUAGGGGGACGUUGCUUUGAUAAAAGAAAUUGGUUUUAACUCCUUCAGAUUCUCAAUCUCAUGGUCAAGAAUAUUACCAUGUAAGAUCAUUAAAUUAAGAAAACAUUAAUUAUCUCGUAAUAUAAUAAGACAAUAAUUUAUUUUAUUUUGCUAAAUUUAAGAAUGGAAUUUUAUGAUCUAACUGGAAUAAUAUUUGGCCUUCAGAUGGAAGAGUUAGUGCAGGAGUGAACCAAGAAGGCAUCAAUUUCUACAAUUCUUUGAUUGAUGAGUUACUAUCAAAUGGUAAGAUUUUACUUCCAAAACGCACGCAUUCAAUCGAUUCAAUUCAAAUUGCUAUAAACCGAAUCAAAUGUAUAUAUUCAUUCUAUUAAUCCUCCAAUUAAUUUGUAACUCAGAGCAGGUAUAGAGCCUUUGGUAACUCUAUUCCAUUGGGAUCUUCCACAAGCCCUUGAAGAUGAUUAUGGUGGAUUUUUAAGCCCCAAGAUUGUGUAAGUCUAAAUUUAAUUAAACAAUCUGUUUAACACUAAUUACCAAUAAUUAAAUAAUUUCACUUCAUUAAUUCAAAAUUUAUAAUAACAUUUGUGCAGGAAUGAUUAUCGUGAUUAUGUGGAAUUUUGCUUUAAAGAAUUUGGAGAUAGAGUUAAAUAUUGGAUUAGCGUUAAUGAGCCAAAUUAUUUUAGUUGCUUUGGAUAUGCAACUGGAGGAACUGCACCUGGUCGUUGCUCUAACUAUAUAGGAAACUGCACAGCAGGAAAUUCUGCCACUGAACCCUACAUUGUGGUUCACCAUUUGAUUCUUUGCCAUGCAACUGCUAUAAAUUUAUAUAAUCAAAAAUACAAGGUAUGCAAUUUUACUUCUAGCACAUGUAUUUAUAUAAUAACCAUUAAUUAGCAAUCUAAAAAGAAUGAUUAAAUGGUUAAUUAGGCUUCUCAGAAGGGAGCAAUUGGGAUUACUGUAACAGCAUUUUGGAAGGUGCCCAAAUUUCAAACAGUUGCUAGCAGAAAGGCUGCAUCUAGAGCCCUUGAUUUUACCAUUGGAUGGUCAUUUUCCUUUCACCAAAUUAACUCUUUAAUUACUAAAUUAAUAAAAAUGUUUAUAUUAAUUAACAAAUAAUAAUCAUUUCCAUGUGUAGGCUUCUUCAUCCUCUAACAUAUGGUGAUUACCCAGAAACAAUGCGAUCUCUGGUCGGAGAUCGAUUGCCUAAAUUUACAGAAGAAGAAUCAAAGAUGAUAAAAGGAGCCAUUGAUUUUGUUGGACUUAAUUACUAUACUGCAAGAUACGUUGAUGAUGCUACAUCUACCAAUUUAAGUUACACAUCAGAUGGCCAUUUCAUUGAAACCAGUUACUAUACUUCCAAAUUUCUCAAUAUCUAAAAUUUCAAUAUAACUCUUAUUAUAUUUAAUUGGUUUUUUUUUUUAUUUUUUUUAUUUUUUUUGCAGCUAACAAAAAUGGAAUUCCUAUCGGCCAACAGGUUCCCUUUGAUUAGCACAUAUAUAUAUAGUUAUUUAUAAUAUAUAUUUGUCAUAUUAAGAAAAAUUAUAUAUAUUAUUUUUGCAGACCGGUUCGAGUUGGCUAUACAUUUAUCCAGAGGGAAUUCGAAAAUUAUUGCUGCAUAUAAAAAGAAAUUACAACAACCCUCCAAUUUAUAUCACUGAAAAUGGUGAGUAAGCAGUCUCAGGUUCAGUUGAAAUUUCUUAAAUAAUAAAAUACAGGAAACUAUUAUUUUUUUUCCUUGGCAGGAUUGGAAGAUAAUAGCUCUAUUUCAAUGAAGGAUGCACUUAAUGAUAGCCUGAGGAUAAAAUACCAUAAACUUCAUCUAUCAUACCUCCUAGAAGCCAUCAAGUGAGUUUUGAACUUUUGAUGUUCAAUAAAUUUUUUUUUUUUUUAAUUUUCAGUUAUUUCAUUAUGAUUAUUUAGUAAUUAUAAAUAUAUUUCUAAAAUUGAAGUAUUUAUAUAUAUAUAUAUAUAUAUGAUUUUGACAGGGAAGGAGUUGAUGUGCGAGGAUAUUACAUAUGGUCAUUUCUGGAUGAUUUUGAGUGGAUGUUUGGUUACACCGUUCGAUUUGGCAUCACAUAUAUCGAUUACGACAAUGGGUUAAAAAGAAUUCUAAAAUCCUCUGCUUUGUGGUUCAAGAAUUUUCUCCAACAAGAAAAUGAAACCUCUGCAAAUUCUUUGUUUUCCUCACAAUGACUUCAAAUUAGAGAAGACGAAAAUGGCAGAUUCAGUCUUCUCAAAACCAAAAAAAGGGCUUCUUUAUCUUGUGGUUGGAACUUGGAAGUUGCUUCUUGUUCCAAGGAAUCUUUUUUAGGUAUUAGAUUCCUUUAUAUUCAUGGAUAAUAUAUUGUAAUUGCACAUUAUAUUAAUAUAAUAUAAUAAUUAAAAAUCUUUUUCUUUUUCUUUUUCUUUUUCUUUAACUAAUAAAAUUUCCUUAAACAAAAAAAGAAAGAAGACUAAUAAUUUCAUCUAAUUAUUAGUUAAAGCAGCCCCGGUAGAGUGCAUGCAUCUUAAUGAGAUGUGUUCUUAGUAGAUUUUAAAAUUUUACAUAUUAUAAUACAAAUUGAGAAUAUUAGACUUUCUGACCUACUUCAACUGUCAAUGUCUAAUCCUUAUGAAAAGAAUUUUUAACUACUAAUGGGUUAGUCUAGAUAAAAAUAACUCAAGAAUUCAUAUUCUUUAAAUAAGAAAUCGAUUAUUCAAUUUUCGUGAACGGUGAAAAUUCUCGCUGAAAGCAUUUUCUCCUAUUGGUUCGUGAAUGGUGAAAAUUUUCACUGAAAGCAUUCUCUCCUAUUGAUCUUACUCAUCUGACGUGGCACGAGCAAAAUUAGGUUUAGUUCAACAAAAUAAGAAUAUAUAUAUAUAUAUAUAUAUAUAUAUGUCCUAACUACCUUUCCCUUUUCUUUUUCUUAUUAGGGUAGAGAACAAAUGAUAAUUCUGUCCUAGUGCAUGAUUCCAUUUUUAUUUUACAAUUAAAUGAUUAAUCAACAAAGAAUGACUUGUAAAAUAAAUAUAAUUAUCAUUUCAUAAUAACAUGCACAUGACUUUAAUUAUUGAAAGUGACAAAUAUAAACCACUAAUUACUAAAUCAAAAUUAAUUAAGAAGAUUACAGUUGGCUUUCCUACAUUUCCACUCAUGCUUUAAUUAGUAUGGAUUAUAUAUUAUGAGGGUCAAUACUCGAUACCUCUCGCCAAUCUCAUAAGUGAAAAGACUAAUCGGACGACACUUGAUUGACAAUCAAUUUGUAAUAUUUGUACGAUAAAAUUAAUUAUUUUGAUAGCUAUUAAUUGUUUUAGUAACGUCUAGUUGUUAGCUAUUUGAAUAAUUUUUUAUAGAACGCUCAAAGUUAAACUUUACAUGAGUUAACUUUUUAUAAAAGACUAACAUCUAAAAGUUAAUUCAAAUACUGUGUUACUAAACACUUUAAAAAGUAGCAUUUUAGCAUUUUAACCGGUCAAAACAUUAAAAGUUACUAAAAAAUUGUUGCGAAAACACAGCUUUAAACUAACAAAUAAAUAGUUUGGACUUGCAGGUUUUACCGGAGGUUGCACAGCAUAUAGCAAUGGACUUUUUGGUGAUAGACGCUGCCAUUUUGAACCCAUAGCAUUGACCGAAACAUGUUCAUCAAAUCCAUGGAAAUCUAUUUAAAUAAUUUAUAACUAAAACAAUUACUUUGACAUAUCAUAUUCAACUCUUUUCUUGACCUUUAAAAUUCCAAUUCAAACUUAAUUGGAAGCUACAAUACGUAAUUAAAACCCUGAAAAUUCUAAGCAAGUUUAUCUUUUCUGUUUUUAUAUAUGAAAAAAGUGGAAGCUGACAUGUCAAUGAGCAUGCAGGGAACUAGUCAGAAGUUGCUGAUUCGGAAUUAAAAUUGUUUUUUUAAAUCACUAUGCUCAAUGUGAAACUAUAAAAACGUGUCGAAGUCUCAUCAUUCUUGUUUUAGAACAAGAACAAACACAGUCAGUAUUGAAGGCUUCUGUUCUAUUUUUCAGGGAAAGAAUUUGAAGGUAUGACCUGAAACUAUGACUUUCUUUUCUUUUGCUUGAUUUUCUUAUUCCUUUCCUCUAUCAAUCUCAUAUCAUCAGUACAAUUACUACGCCAUUAUUGUUGUUUAAAAGGCUUCGAUCUCAUAAUUAUAGGGAAUUUAUCAGAUGGCUUUGUGCAAGCAAGGAAUGAAAAAUCAACUUAGCCUUCUGCUCCUCCUCCUCCUCCUCUGCCUUCUCAAUCUUGCUUUUUUGAUCAGUUAUGCAGAAGGAAAAAGAAUAUCUCAGUCUUUUACUACAUUUAAUAGGAGCAAUUUUCCAACUGGUUUUGUGUUUGGAGCAGGAUCAAGUGCUUAUCAAGUAAGUGCCAAAUUAUUAUUUCUUGAUUUUUUUUUCCUUUUUUUUUAAUUAUUGUAUUUUCUUUUUCUUUCUGCAACUUAAUUAGUAUGAAGGAGCAGCAGCAAUGGGUGGCAGGAAACCAAGUAUAUGGGAUACUUUCACUAGACAACAUCCAGGUCUUUCAUUAAGUUUCUUUUUCUAAUAAUGGUCAAUAAAUCCAAUCAAUGUCAAGAAAUUUCAUUUUCUUUUUUAUGAAAUUGAAACUUAAUUAAUUGUCCAAUGCAUUAAUUAUUAUGCUCUCACGACAGAAAAAAUUGCAGACCACAGCAGUGGAAAUGUAGCUGAAGAUUUUUACCAUCGUUUUGAGGUAUAUUAUCCUACACAGUAUUUGAUAUUUCUAAUCUUGAUUUUUCUCUUAUUGACUAUAAAUAUAACUGAAAAAUGAUGUUCCAGGAAGACAUUCCUCUGAUGAAAGAAAUUGGUUUAGACUCCUAUAGAUUCUCCAUUUCCUGGCCAAGAAUACUACCUGGUAAAAGAAAAUUAUUAACUUACAAAAAUUCUUAUUUAUGAUUUCAUGUCUAAGUAGUAAUUUUGGUACAAAUGGAAAUUUUUCUUGUUAAAGGGGGAAAAAUUAGUAGGGGAGUGAACUGGGAAGGAGUCAACUUCUACAAUUAUCUCAUCGACGAGCUUCUUUCGAAUGGUAAAUUAAUUUCCAAUAAUCUCUCUCUUUUAAUAUGCAAUUUUGUUUCUAACUCCUUUAAUUUUGUUCAGGUAUACAGCCACUUGUGACCUUAUUCCACUGGGAUGUUCCACAAGUUCUUGAAGAUGAAUAUAUGGGACUAUUAAGCCCUAAUAUUGUGUAAGUGAAACCAAAAACUUUUUUAUUUUUCCAAAAUAGUAUGCAAUUAAUCAUCUUAAGAUGAAUCAGAAGUUGAUUACAGUUUCUUUUUCUUGAUUAGGAAUGAUUAUUAUGACUAUGUAGACUUUUGCUUCAACCAAUUUGGUGACAGAGUGAAAAAUUGGGUUACUGUGAAUGAGCCUAAUUUAAUGGCAAUGUAUGGAUAUGCAAAAGGUGAUAAUGCACCCGGUCGAUGUUCGGAUUAUAUCGGAAAUUGCAGUUCCGGCAACUCGGCAACAGAACCAUACAUUGUACUCCACCACUUACUUCUUUGCCAUGCAUCUGCUGUUAAAUUAUACAGAGAAAAGUAUCAGGUUAGUACUUAAAUAAUUAGUGUUCAUCAAUAAAAUAAAUGUUCAAGUUUUUGACAUGAGUAAUGAAUUUACUAUAAUUUUAGGCCUCUCAAAGGGGAAUUAUUGGGAUUUCAGUAUUUACAAAAUGGACAGUACCAAAAUAUCAGAAUAUUGCCAGCGGAAAAGCUGCAGAUCGAGCUCGCGAUUUUUUAUAUGGAUGGUGAGUUCUGUUUAGUCAGUUUUCUUGAGAAAAUAGAAUUUAGAAUAUAUUAUUAUGUCUUCGUACUUGCUAAGAGCAAUAUAUGGUUGGUUUUUGUAGGAUUAUGCAUCCAAUUAUUUAUGGUGACUAUCCAGAAAGCAUGAGAUAUUUGGUGGGUAAUAGACUACCAAAAUUCACAAGAAAGCAAGCAGAAAUGGUUAAAGGAUCCUUUGAUUUCAUCGGAAUAAAUUAUUAUACCGCAAUGUAUGCAGAUGAUGUUACAUCUUAUAGUAAUGUCAAUCUGAGUUAUACGACAGAUAGCCGAGUUAAUCUAACAAGUAAUAAUCAAACAACUUCUGAACUCUCUGAUAUGAACAAGGAACAUUCAUUUCCAUCGGCUAAUUACAUAACAUGCAACUUUCUUUCUUUUUCUUUUGGUUUCAGGUGAGAAAAAUGGGAUUCCUAUUGGUCAAUCAGUAAGCAAUCUCUCUCUUUCUCUCCCUCACACACACACGAAUGUAGACUACGAAUUUGAACAGCACUGAUUAAACAAUUCUUCUCUUUAUAUUGGUUUUUGCAGACUGGUUGCAGCUGGCUAUACAUAUACCCAAAAGGAAUUUAUGAACUUAUGUUGUAUUUAAAGAGGAAAUACAACAAUCCAAUCAUUUACAUUACCGAGAAUGGUAAAACAGAAUAAUCAGUAUAAAUUUCUUUAUAAACAUAAAUAUUGGUUAAAUGGAAUUACCGUAAGUUCAAGAAAUGUUGUUUCUUCUUCUGGUUUACAGGAAUGGGUGACACUGGCUCAUUGCCUCUUACCGAUGCUCUUGAAGACCAAUUAAGGAUAAAAUAUCACUAUCUUCAUCUCUUAUAUCUCUUAAAAGCUAUCAAGUAAUGUCCCCAUCGAAUUCAAUUUUCAGUUGCCAAGAAACUUUCAGUUGUUCAUAUUUUUAUGAUACUGAUGAUUUUGCAGGGAAGGUGUUGAUGUGAGAGGAUACUAUAUUUGGUCAUUUCUCGACGACUUUGAAUGGGAUUUGGGUUAUACUGUUCGAUUUGGAAUCACUUACGUUGAUUAUAAAAAUGAAUUAAGAAGAUAUCUCAAACAUUCUGCUUUGUGGUUCAAAAGACUUCUCCAAAAUGAGAACAGAACAUCAACAUCUUCUUUCUUGUACUCUCAAUGAUUAUACUGAAAUUAUAUUAAUUGUAAAGUUUUAUAAAUUUCAUUUGUAAAUUCAUUCAAAAUUGUAAUAGAAAAGAGAAGAUUAAUUGAAAAUGUAAUUAAUUAAUUAAUAGAAAAGAGAAUCUCUCCCUUUUUAAUAAAUAAAACUCAUCUAACAGGCUUGAUUUUCGCAUAAUUAACACUUUUAAAAUCAGAUUGGAUAUAGAACCGGUUUGAUGGCUGGAUCACACUCGGAUAGGAUCAACUCGAUUCAAUUGAAUUUUUCCUUUUUUCUUUUUAUUUUUUUGAAUUAGUAUAAAAAUUACAAAUAUAUAAUAAUCAAUUACAGUUUGUUGAAUUAGUACUUGUUAUUUACAUGAUACAUGAAAAAAAAAAAACAUGUAACUUAAAAUAAUUUAUUUUGAAAUUAUUCUUGAACAUUAGUACCUUAAAUUAUUCUUGAACAUUAGUACCAAGAUCUUGUUAUAUAUACAUAAAAACUAAAAAUAGAUCUAUUGAGAACUAUCUGCAUUUGAAAAAUAAAAAAAAUAGAGAAAACAUAUUUUAAUUUGUUUCAUAAUUAAUAGUAUUAAUUCAUAUUUCACCUACAAAAAUGUUAAUGAAUUAUUAAAAUGUUAUUAGUCAUUUUAAUCCGGGUUUGUAGGUUCCAUUCUGUUUUUAAAGUCAAAUCAGAUAAGAUCAAUUAAUGGUUCGAGUGUCGACGCUAGAACCGCCUGUCUAGUACUUGCUCCAAAUGGAAGUAGAGAUUAGCAACUAGCUUUGUGCUUCAAAUACCGAACUUCCUCCGAUAGAUAUGCACAUAUAUAUGGACCAUUCUUUUGCUGGAGAAAGCGAAAUGUCACGAACAAUGUACAGCACGCCUUUAAUGCUCUGCUCGAAAGCGAAAUGUCACCAACAAUGUACAGCACGCCUUUAAUGCUCUGCUCGAAACUUUUCCUUUCAUUUUUCAACAUAUUAGACAUCAUAGAUAAAACCAUAUGAAACUAGUAGCAGAAACCAUAUGAAACCAUAAUAUAACAAUAAAGAAUCAAGAAUGAAAAUUCAGCUUUGUUUCUCUAUCUACCUCUCAAAUCUUGCUGGUUUUCUCGCUUCAGCUGGCAGCCAAAGUCCUCUUGGCUCUGUGUCUCCACUUAACAGAAGUAGUUUCCCAGAUGGUUUUGUGUUCGGAGCAGGAUCAAGUGCUUACCAAGUAAGUAUAGACAACAUUUUUUGCAUAUUUUCUUUAUUUUUAGCCUUAUUUGCAUUUACUAGUAGUUAGUAACCGUUUCGUCUGCUUCUUAGUAUGAAGGAGCAGCAGCAAUGGAUGGCAGGAGACCAAGUAUAUGGGACACUUUCACUAGAAAACAUCCAGAAAAAAUUGCAGAUCAUAGUAAUGGGAAUGUUGCAGAUGAUUUCUACCAGCUUUAUGAGGUAUUUGUUGAGCCUGUCAUUGAUAAUUUUUCUCUUAUUAAUAAGCAUAUCAUUGUUAAUCUCUAUGUUAAUUACAGUAUGACAUUCCUCUUAUGAAAGAAAUUGGUUUAGACUCCUUUAGAUUCUCACUCUCAUGGUCAAGAAUAUUGCCUGGUAAAUAAUCUUUAUGAAAUCAAUUCUUUAUUUAUCGUGGAAAAUAGCAUCCAUUGAUGUUAAAUAUGGAAUUUGAUUGAUUUUGAUUUGAUCUUCAGAGGGAAAAAUUAGCAAGGGAGUGAACUGGGAAGGUGUCAAGUUCUACAAUUCUCUAAUCGAUAAGCUCCUCUCCAAUGGUAACUAAGGCUCAGUUUGUUUCCAUAAAAUAACUUGUAAGAAAAUAUUUUUCACAAUUCCAUUGUUUGGAGCGUUCAGGAAAAUACAUAUUUCUUGAUUAAAGGAAAACUUUCAAGAGAGUAAAAUAUUUUUAAAAGAUUGACAACCUUAUUAUAACUUUAUAAAUCCAUAUUUUUUAAUUUAUUAAUCAUAGAUAGCCACUAUCACCACCAGUCACCAUUCAUUAACAGGCAAUCGACAACUUUCAUGAUUUACCUUUUUUUUUUUUUGCAUUCUUCUCAUAUUUAAUAAUAAAAUUUUUAAAAUACAAAAUUUUUAUCAUUAUUAAUAUUUUUAUGAUCUCAUGAGUUAAAAUUUUUAAUAAUUUUAACUAAUUUUCAAUGCUGCAACAAUACUUUUUAAAGGCAAAUUAUUUUCUGAAAACAAAAGGAGCCUAACACUACGAUAUUUUUCGCACAUCACAAGCUAAGCAUUUUCUUCAACUUUCUUUAUAAUCAAUAAACAGGCAUACAACCCUUUGUGACCUUAUUCCAUUGGGAUCUUCCACAAGCUCUUGAAGAUGAAUACAAAGGAUUGUUAAGCCCUGAGAUAUUGUAAGUAAGAAACUCAUUUCAAAUUUAUCCUAAUUAAUUAUAAUUUCUAAAGUUAAUUCUCUUUCUAAUUAGGAAUGAUUAUUAUGAAUAUGCGGACUUCUGUUUCAAAGAAUUUGGAGAUAGAGUGAAAUAUUGGGUUACUAUCAACGAGCCAAAUUUAAUGAGUGAUUUUGGAUAUGCAAUGGGUAAAUAUGCACCUGGUAGAUGUUCUGAUUAUAUCGGAAAUUGCACAGACGGGAACUCUGCAACAGAACCAUAUAUAGUAGUCAACAAUUUGAUCCUUUGCCAUGCAAAUGCUGUGAAAUUAUACAGACAAAAAUAUCAGGUUUUUCCAUAGAUAAAGCUGAACUUGUUUGAUAUUGCUUCUGUCCCAAAAUAUAAGUCAUUUAAAAUUUUUAUAUAGGAAUUAAAGAAAAUAAUUAAUUCUCUUAAAUUAUAAUAAAACCAAAUGUAACUUGUAAAAGUAGUUAGUGUAUCUAAAGUAAUAUUGGAAAAAUAUCAAACAACUUAUAUUUUGGGACGAAGUGAGUACCUUUUACUAUUUAUAAUGGAUUUUUGAUUUUGAUAACAAUUAAAUUAACACAACUUAGACAAACAGGAUUCUCAAGGUGGAAUUAUUGGAAUUUCAGUUCAUACAAAGUGGAUGAUACCUAAAUAUCACAAUGUUGCAAGCCAGAAUGCUUCCUCUCGAGCUUGUGAUUUUGCUUUUGGAUGGUAAUUAAGUUAUUCCUAGUCGAUAAUAUCUGUAUGCAUAUCCAUAUCCUUGGCCAAAUAUAUAUCUCAAAUAUUUAUUUCUCACUUGUAUUUAGGAUAAUUCAUCCAAUAACCUAUGGCGAUUAUCCAGAAACCAUGAGAUAUUUGGUGGGUAAAAGACUACCAGAAUUUACAGAAGCAGAAAUGGAACUGGUGAAAGGGUCUUUUGAUUUCAUUGGAAUUAAUUACUAUACAACAAAUUAUGCAGAUGAUGUUAAAUAUUAUGACAGUAUCCAUUUGAGCUAUACAACAGAUAGCCGAGUCAAUGAAACUUGUAAUUUCACAAACUCUAACCUUCAUGAAACUGAAAGGGAACUGCAUUUCUUUUUUCUAAUUUUCCUUCUGUCUCAGAUGAGAAAAAUGGGAUUCCGAUAGGUCAACCGGUAAGCUCUCUUUUCUGUAAUAUAUUCAACUCCAUAUUGUAUAUGCAUGCAUAUCAAGAACUUGACAGAAAUGGUUUUAUGUUGGUUUAAUUUGAAGACUUCUUGUAGCUGGUUGUACAUUUACCCUAAAGGAAUCUAUGAACUUUUGCUGUAUCUGAAGAGAAAAUACAACAAUCCUCGCAUUUAUAUCACUGAGAAUGGUAAACCAAAUCCAUUUUCUUAUUUAUAAAUUUAAAUGUAAUGAGUUCAAGAAAUGCUGCUUCUUCUUCUGGUUUACAGGAAUGGGUGACAGUAGCUCAUUGUCUCUUCCUGAUGCUCUUGAAGACCAAUUAAGGAUAAAAUAUCAUUAUCUUCAUCUAUUACAUCUCUUAGAAGCUAUCAAGUAAUGUCACCAUUGAAUUCAAUUUUUAAUCGCCAAGAACUUGAUAGUUAUUUAUAUUUUUAUGAUACUGAUAAUUUUGCAGGGAAGGUGUUGAUGUGAAAGGAUACUACAUUUGGUCAUUUCUCGACGACUUCGAAUGGAAUUUGGGUUACACUGUUCGAUUUGGAAUUAAUUAUGUUGAUUAUAGAAAUGAAUUAAGAAGAUAUCCCAAAUAUUCUGCUUUAUGGUUCAAAAGAUUUCUCCAAAAUGAGAAUAGAACCUCAACAUCUUCUUUCUUGUACUCUCAAUAAUCAUUCCAAAACUAUAUUACUCUCGUCGUCCCAAAAUAUUAAUCGUUUUUAGUGAAUAUUUUAUCUCAAAAUAUAAGUCGUUUUAAGUAUUUUAAAGAGUAAUAAAUAUUUUUUUUUCGAUGUUACCCUUAUUUAUAUCGUAUAUAAUAACUACCCUUUUGGGAAGUUUCAAAUAUGUUCACUUUCAGACCUGAAACAAGCUCAAACUGCAACCCAAGAACUGGCUGAGAACAACUUUGCACAAACAGCCUAUUUUAUAUAUUCUAGUUUUUCAUUUGUCUUUGUCUCUCAUCUGUUGUGUAAUUCAAUAACUAUAAGAGAUG